rnacentral:rRNA from 1 species
UCCGGUUGAUCCUGCCGGAGGUUACUGCUAUCGAGGUUCGACUAAGCCAUGCGAGUCGAAUGUAGCAAUACAUGGCGUACUGCUCAGUAACACGUGGACAACCUACCCUUGAGACGGGGAUAAACCCGGGAAACUGGGUAUAAUACCCGAUAGAUCUCGACUGCUGGAAUGCAUCGAGCUCCAAAGCUCCGGCGCUCAAGGAUGGGUCUGCGGCCUAUCAGGUAGUAGUGGGUGUAGCGUACCUACUAGCCUACGACGGGUACGGGUUGUGAGAGCAAGAGCCCGGAGAUGGAUUCUGAGACACGAAUCCAGGCCCUACGGGGUGCAGCAGGCGCGAAAACUUUACAAUGCUGGAAACAGCGAUAAGGGGACCUCGAGUGCCAGGUUACAAAUCUGGCUGUCGUGAUGCCUAAAAAGCAUUGCAUAGCAAGGGCCGGGCGAGACCGGUGCCAGCCGCCGCGGUAACACCGGCGGCUCGAGUGGUAACCGUUAUUAUUGGGUCUAAAGGGUCUGUAGCCGGCCGGAUAAGUCUCUUGGGAAAUCUGGCAGCUUAACUGUCAGGCUUUCAGGAGAUACUGUCUGGCUCGAGGCCGGGAGAGGUGAGAGGUACUUCAGGGGUAGGGGUGAAAUCUUGUAAUCCUUGAAGGACCACCAGUGGCGAAGGCGUCUCACCAGAACGGACCUGACGGCAAGGGACGAAAGCUAGGGGCACGAACCGGAUUAGAUACCCGGGUAGUCCUAGCCGUAAACGAUACUCGCUAGGUGUCGGCCACGGUGCGACCGUUGUCGGUGCCGUAGGGAAGCCGUGAAGCGAGCCACCUGGGAAGUACGGCGCAAGGCUGAACUUAAAGGAAUUGGCGGGGGAGCACACAACGGGUGGAGCUUGCGGUU